CUCAAUGGACAUGAGUUUGGGUGAACUCCGGGAGUUGGUGAUGGACAAGGAGGCCUGGCGUGCUGUUAUUCAUGGGGUCGCAAAGAGUCAGACGCGACUGAACUGAACUGAAUGAUGAUAAAGUUGAGCGUCUUUCCGUGUGCUUACCGGUCACGUGUAUAUCUGCUGGGCAGUCUGGCUCCGGACACUGAGCUUUCCACCUCACACUGUGGAGGUUGCUUCUUGUCUGCCUGGGCCAGUAACCUCCUGACAGAGACGUGUCAUUGGAUUGUUUCUUGGUGCCAGUAGCUAUGCCUCCGAGCUUCAGUCCAGAUGGUUUUGAUUCCUACCUAAUGGUUUUUCUUUGCCACAGCACAGACUGUGACCACUUGCCAGUGUCAUUCUGGUUUAUAGCUCAUCAUACAUGAAAUACAGUUGCUGUCUGUGAUGUUGGAAACCCCAAAUCCAUCAAGGAUCAAAAGUCAGGUAGAAGCAGCUACUCUAUUUCAGGAGGAAAGUAGGUGUAAAGCUGGGUCACAGUCAUGUGGCAGGUUCAUGAGGACCCCUGGACGUCCCAGGAUCGUCAGCUGUGGAGGCGAUGACAGCUCUGGGUGUCGUGGCCUUGCUAUGAGCAGUGCACCAGGCUGUGCUCAACUUACGUUCUCAUUCAAUCCUCACAAAGCCCCCACAAAACUUCAGGCUACAGAUCCACAGUUCUGUGUCUAGCAUCGGCUAAGUGCCAGGCACAGUUCUGAGCUGCGGGAACUCGGCAGCGAGUACAGCACACGGGAUCCUUGCCCUGUAACUCUCUGCCGAGAAAGAUAGACAGCAAGCAGACAAGUGAGUGAACAACUUCAGAUCACGAUGGGGGCUUUGAAGACAACAGGUGGAGUCUCGGUGAGGGGACCACAAGGGCCUGUCUUCAGUGUUGUGUCCAGAGAAGGUCUCUUUGAGGACGUGACACUUGGGGUGAUAACCUGUAGAUGGAGGAGGAACCCUGCAAAGCUUUGGAGAAAGAGUUUUCAAAUAGAAGCAGCGUGUGCAAAGGCCCUCAGCCAGGAACCAGCUGGCUCCAGUCCAGGCACUAAAAGGAAACUGGCGUGGCUGCAGCAUCAUAAGCACGGGGAAGAGUGUGACUGAGAGAAGUUAGAGAAGCGCGAGGACCAGUUACCAGGCCCCGCAGCCCAGAAAGGAAUCCGGGGUUUUUAAACCAGUAAAGGCUUCUGAGGCAAGGAGUGACAUUCCCUGAAUGACCCCUCCAGCCAGGUGCAGAGGGGUCAGAGGAGAGGCCGAGUGAGGGUGAGGACAGGCUCACCUGUAAGUGAGGCAGCCUGAACCAGGUUGGUGGCAGUGGAGACAGAAGACAGUCAAUUUAAAAGCUGUUGGUGGCCGAACCACUGUGCUUGGGGAAUUGGGACGAGGGUGGGCUCAGGGGUGAGCCCUGCGGUGGAUGGUGGAGCUGUACUUACUGGGGUGGGAAGACCCUGGAGAAAGGACUUGAGAGGCCGGGUGGGGCCGAUUUCCAUCUCAGGUUCCUGCUGGACAACUCAAAAGAUAGAUAUCAUCUGCCACUCAGAAGACUGCUCGGGAGAUGACAGAUUGCAAAGUUAACAGCCACAGAAAAUGCAGGCUUUAUCAGGCAGCCUGAGGAAGCAGGAAACCUGGAAGGAAGUGGAGCAGGCCCCAAGCAGAGCCCCAGGGGACCUCCACGGUUGGGGGCAUUGAGAAAAGGGGCAGCCACGGGGGUGGAGAGUCACCUGCCGGGAGGAAGAACACGGUGUCCCUGAAGCCCAGAGAAAGAGUGUCAGGGGGGAGGCUGUCGGUAUGACAGCCUGCUGUUGCAUCAGGGAAUAGGGUGGGGACGGAGGAGCUGGAUUUGGCAAUGGCGGCAAACUUGGCAGUGAGUGUCCGGCAGAGCAGGGAGGCCAGGAGCCUGCUGGAGCGAGUUCCUGAGUCCUAGGGAGUCAGGACACAGGGUGGCCGGCUCUGUCUUGAAGUUUUGUCCCAUGAGUAAAGGGAUGGUAACUGGAGAACGGCAGGGAAGUAGAGAGUCUUGCUUUUUUGUUGUUGCUGGUGGUGGGGGUUUUGAAAAUGAGAGAUACAGUGGUGACGAUGACCCACCAACCCAGAAAGUGAUAAAGCCGGAACGAGGAGGGACAGCUGUCCUGAGACGGGGCAGGUUAGAGCCGUAGUCAACUGCAGAGAUCCCCCAUCAAUGGGGCAUUUCGAUAGGAUGCGGCUUCUAUUGUAAUAGGAAGGGGACUAGAGAAUGUGGGGUAGAUAUGGGUAGAUCUAUGGUGAUUGACCUAGAAAAAUGAAGGAGCGCCUAUCUGAAUAGUUCUUUUUUUUUUUUUAAUUAAAGUAUUAUGUCCUUGUUAUGGAUGAGAAACGUGAGGCUUGGAGAGAUCGGCCAACUGGUUCUAGCAACCAGGGCCAGCUAGUCUCCACUGCAGUUUGAGUCAAGCCACCGGGAGGAAUCAGGUAAAUGCCAGGGACUCUGGACUCUGCUUGUCGUGUUUCAUCCUUAUUCCCAGUGAUGGCUGCUUUUCACAGCGGAAGAGAAGCUGCCAGCCUGCCCCCAGCCACUCGGCAGAGCAGUGGACAGAGGACUGAAGGGAGCACCGUGAGAAGGGAGGCCGUGGAUCUGUUGGAUGAUCAGGCCCAGAGCAUCUCUCUCGCCCCCACAGUCUCCACCCUCUCCGCAGUUACUAUGGAAGGUGGUGGCCGUGGCUGUGAGUGUGGCUAAAGGGGACUCUCCUGUGGCUCACAGCACAGAGACAGCUCCUCUGUGUCCUCCCUUAGCUGAGCAAUCAACCCCCCAAGCCCUGCAGCCAGCUGCCCUCUCACCCCUGUAACCUUGAAUGAUGCUCAACUCUGUGUUCAUCUUGAUCUCACCCCUUCACCCAGCAUGAGGAACUGGAAAACUCGCCAGCCUGACUUAUUCAUCCAUACAUCUGGCAUAAAAAGAAGUCUAGCGUUUUCAUUUUGACUUCUCACUCCUUCGCUGCUGAUUUCCUCGGAUGGCGGCAGUCUCGCUGGGUGAAUUCUGCUUCCCCAGCACUGUUCUUCAGGUGCAAAGGGAUUCAUUCUUUGCCCGGAAGCAGCAUUCUUUUCACAAAUAUAUUUUGCAUGUAAGUUCCUAGCCACUCUUUUUUGUGGAGAUCUUUUAGGGAGGGGAUGGUUGUGGAUGUCACAUUUAUCUAAUAGAAACCGUCCUUGCCAGCUACAAGGUCCCUGCUCCACCUGGAGGGCGUGGGGAACCAGUUGGCUCACACUCUGCUUUGGGCAGCGAGCGCAGGUCCAGAGGGACUCUUGUUCUUGAGUCUCUUGCUUUCCCACACCCACUGAUACUGGUUCCUGCCAGCUCCCUGCCCUGCCCAGGCGGAGCUGUCUCUAGGCUCUGCCAUCUGGGAGAAACUCCAGGGCAGCCACAGGCGGCUCAGGCACCAGGAUUGCUGCUGCUAACCCUGUGGGCCAUCAAAUCCGUCCCCUUCCCACAUUCCCUUAGUCGCACCGCCCAAGAGCGUCUCUUGCCCUGACCAUGUACCAUCCUCUUACUUGAUGUCCUUAUCUCCUACAUUGAUCUCUACUAACUCAGCCCCUUUCCCUCCACUUGCAGCAGGAAUGACUUCUCCAAAUCCCAAGUCUUAGUCACAUGAUUCCCCUGCUUAAUCAUGCCCAGGUUUCCUAUUGCUCACAAGUUGGAACCGCUGAAUGUACUUAGAGGAAGGCUUCACAAGCCUGAUCGUACAGCAGAUCCCCAGGGGAUCUUAAAAUGCGGAUUCUGAUUCAAUAAAUCUGGAAUCAGGCCUGAAAUUCUUCACUUCUAAUAAGCUUCCAGCUGAAGUCAGUGCUGCGGGCCUGUGCGUUAUACUCUGAGGAGCAAGGAAUGCAGGGCUCCUGCCUGUCUCCCCAGCCUCAUCCCUUGCCACCUCCCCAACUCUCCUCCAGCCACAUGGGGCUUAUUCUAGCUCCCAGAAGGAAUCAGGCUCUCACUUACCCCUGGGCCUUUGCACGGGCACCCUCUCUAGAGCACUGUCUUACGCUGCCUGGCUGGCUCCUGUCCUUUAUUGCAGUGAGACCAUAGACGCUGCUUCCUCUAGGAAGCCUUCUCUGAUUCUCCAAGUCCAGGAGACAGAUUACUGAGCAUAUUUGUGGUCUGGCAGUGAUGUGAGGUGGAGGGAUAAGGAGAUAAUCUUUUUCUGUUAAGGCACAAAGUCAAAGGGGUGAGUGACCUGCACACGGCAACAGCCAGAGAGUGGGGUGGGGGAGCUGUUUCUUGCUACAGAAGGUUCCAGGAAGAUGGUCUCUGUGUCACCUGGGGUUAGAGGCAGGUGACCUGAGCUUGUCUAAAGGUCCCUGGCUCGUCCACUUCUCCCUUCUCAGCUAAGCAGAAAGGGUCCCUGAGGAGAGGACCCUGCUUGUCCUGGACUUGGAGAAUCAGAGAAGGCUUCCUAGAGGAAGCGAUUUCUAUGGUCUCACUGCAAUAAAGCACAGGAGCCAGCCAGGCAGGGUUGGACGUUGGUUUUCCUCAGUGAGAGUGAAAUCCUGGAUUUUGCUAGAAUGCUCCUGCCUGGGUUCCUACACCACAGUCUGAGUCCUGCGGGGAACUGGGAACGGAAUCUGAAACACGUGACAAAGCAUCGUCUGGAGCCUCCAGUCCCGUUCCUCUGCUGCCCUCUCCUGGACAUAGCACAGAACAGCACAUUCAUCGGACGGCGCUACCAACAACUAAGAGGAGAGGCUCAGUGAGAAGUGGUUAAGCCCUUCUUCUGUCUUGUUUUGUCACUAAGUCGUGUCCGAUUCUUUUGUGACCCCAUGAACUGUAGCCUGCCAGGCUCUAUCUGUCUAGUAAAGUUGCUCAGUCGUGUCUGACUCUUUGCAACCCCAUGGACUGUAGCCCGCCAGGCUUCUCUGUCCAUGGGAUUUUCCAGGCAAGAGUACUGGAGUGGGUUGCCAUUUCCUUCUCCAGGGGAUCUUCCCCACCCAGGGAUCGAACCGGGGUCUCCGGCAUUGCAGAUGCUUUGACCUCCAAAUUCUUACUCUCUUAUCUUAAUGAUAAUCCUAUAAGAUAAAUAAUAAUAUUCUCAUUUAUACUUUACUUAAACAUCAAGCUAAUAAUUCCAGGAUAUAAAACUCAACAUUCAGAAAACUAAGAUCAUGGCAUCUGGUCCCACCACUUCAUGGGAAAUAGAUGGGGAAACAGUGGAAAUGGUGACAGACUUAAUUUUGGGGGGCUCUCAAAUCACUGCAG